GGGGUGGUAGCCCAACGGCAGAGGCAUCGGUCUCAAAAACCGAACAGUGCGGGUUCGACUCCCGCUCACCCUA
rnacentral:tRNA from 1 species